GAGUAGGUACCGGGCCUACCGCGGGUAAAACAUGGUGCCGUUAGAAGGUCCCCGGUCCUCCUCUUUGCUCUCUACACUGUCCAACAACACGGGUAGGUGGUCUUCUUCUUACCUCAAACACAGACAGACCUAGCCUCCUAAAACUCGACGCUCCCACCUCUUUAAUCCCCCUCCUUCCGCAGAACCCUGUCCCUGCCUAGGUAAAUCUCCGCGCGAGGGAGAAAACCGACCCAACCCUUUCGUCCCUCCCCUCCUCCCACCACCGGUAACUCCACCACCGGCAGCGGCGGGAAGGGAACCGAGGGGCGGAAGGAGAAGGUGGAGGAGAACGAGGUUAUUAGGAGGAGGGUUAGAAGUCGUUAGAAGUAGUUGUCCAGACGCGUUCUUUCCCCUAGGCAGGUACCGCCACCACGACCUGAGCAUGCACUUCGCCACGCGCCGCCGCGACCUCCUCAAGCGCCCCGUCCUCCGGACGCCGCGCGAGCCGUAGGCCCUGUUGCACGCCCCGGACGACCCGUGCGACCGCGCGUAGCUGCGGCAGCAGAGGGUGCUCCUCGCGGCGGCCCACGAGUCGAGGGCCCACCUGCGGACCCACCACGACGAGUUCCUGCAGUACAUGCUCCAGCUGCUGCACGAGCUGCAGACGCGGCGGCUCCCGCGGUUCUAGGAGCGGCUGCUGGUGGGCGGGCGGGGGUUCCACGCGACGCGGAAGUACAAGAGGACGAAGGCGAUGAGCCCGGGGGUCUUCAAGGUGGUGCUCUAGCCGAAGUGGUAGGCCCUGUAGCUGUAGGCCGAGGCACUCUAGCUCCUGCUCUACGGCGGCGAGGGGCGGCGGCCCCGCAGGGGCGCGGGGCCGCGGUCCUCCCUAACCAAGUUAUCACUUUACAGGUCCUCGACGGUGCUGCUGCACCACUUCGGAGCGAGGCGUCACCCCUGCGUCCAGGUCUUCAGAGACCCGCCGGAGCACGGCUCCAACGAGUCCCUCCCGUUCUUCUUCCACCUGCAGAAGCGGUAGCAGCCGCGGCACCCCUAUCCGUUCUGGUGCGAACGGUCCCUCUAUAAGUGGCUACUCUCCUACUGACUUUUGAAGGGGUAGACGCACACCCACUUCUACAGCUUCCUAGACAGGCUCCGUCGAAAGAACUUCUUCUAGUAGCGGCCGCGGCCACAUUUACGACCCCUGUGUCUCUUGUUCCUCCUCGAGGAGCCGGAGGAGUCGAGACGAGAAAGUUUCUCCAAAGAGUAGCAGAACCUACUGGACCUGUCGGGCCCGUAUACCCUGCUAGACGACUUUCUAGGUGACCCUCUGCCGCACCGUUCCCCGUCUUAUGACCAGUGCUGUGCCCUGCUCCUUCACCGCCGUCCGAACUUCCGUCAGCAGGUGGCGCAGCUGUUUUACCUACGUCUCUUGUCGACCCGCAAUGACGCGCUCGUCCAGAAGGACCUUAGGCGAAGUCUCCUCUAGGUUCGUGACGUCCUACAGCCCUACUUCUAGCGCCUCUUUACGCUCCCGGUAGGAGACCGAUAGUUCCAGUAACGUCCACAGGACUCCAGCUCUCCGUGCUCGUUCCUACUCACCGUCUACCAGGACUUUUCGCUACGAACCAGGUACGCCGGCAACGAAGUUGUCCACGGUGUCCGAGAGAUGAACUCGAUACAACUAGACGGAAGACUUGAGUUCCUCACGAAGGAGGUAAGGAGAGACAUGGGUCUUCUGACGGGGUAAGCCGCGAAACUAGAGCACGCCGUGACCUAACGGCUUCCGGAACAGUUCGGGUCUCUCUUGUUCCUUGACCUUCUCAGACGACUUCUCAUGAUAGACCUCAACUAUCCGUCUUUGAACAAUGUCGGACUAGGACUGUUAGAACUGGUCACGACCUACUGUGUACUAGAGGAUGCGAGAGACCGGGCGAAAGACUAUUGUCUACUCUCAUAGAAUUAACUGCCAGUCCUCUCUAGCUCGUACCCGAGCAACAGGAGUGACAGUUUCGGAGCCGUAGAACGUAACACAUUGUACCUCUUGUCGAACCUCCUAGGCUAAAGUCACUUCGUCGUCUACUCGGAUUCCAGUGACUACGAGAAGUUGUCGGGCUUACAGUCUCACUAUCUGUUAGAAGAAGAGCUCAGUCGGUGCACGAACGCACAGAACCUGGACUCGUUGUGUCGUUAUCUCCGAGAGGGUUUUAGGCAACCGUGGAACGCUGUAGACUCCAUGGAGUUAGAACUGCCCUGAGUCGAGUCGCUGGAUGGGAGGAGGCAGCCGAAAGAGCAUUUAAACGUCUGGAACUCGGAACUUCCGACAGUUUCUGACGUCUUUGAGGGAACCAGGUAGUCACUUAACGUUCUCGAAUCUACGGAAACGGAGCUCCCUUGAAGGGAUGCGAUACAUGGCUUUCCACACCCACUUGACUUCGUAGAAUUGGUAGAUAGACCAGACUAGUAACCAGUCCUGUUGUUACUAGGACUCCCGACACUGAACUAAGUGGAAUCUCGGUACAGACUUAACUCCAUGGAAGUCUAACUCUCUGAACUAUCCCGAUGAAGGCCUCGAAGACGUGAGCGUUUGUUCGGUAAGGACUUCCAAGAUGUGGACAGACUCGUUCGUCGUAAUUAACUUCUUCUUCUCUUACUCCUUCUUGUCCUCUUGGUUCUCCCGCGUCUCUUUCUUCUUUUCCUGUUUGUACUUCAUUUUUCACGAGUCACCUAAUCUCUACUAAGUCGAUUUCACUCACUUUUCUAUACCUUACUCGAGUGGGGUGGGUUAUCGCAACUCUUCGACCAUUAGUUCUUGAUGGUUCCAGCUUUCAAAGGUUUGACCUACCGCCCAGGGUUCGAUUUGUGGAGGAAGGGACGGGAACGGAAGGAACUAGAACUGUUGACGUACAGUACGUGGUGAGACGGACGAGAACCGGCGGACUUUGUCGAAUUCAGGGACCUUUAGAGUUUACGUCUGAGGUAACAGCGGUAGCCAAGACUUAAGGAGCCGUGGUGACACUAAAGUGUUCGGUAGAGCAAGGGGUUCGAACUCCAAAACUUCGAUUCUUUGUACUUCUUAGACCUUCUGACCAGGAAUUCACACCUUCUCUCGGUCUGUAACGACGGAACAGAAUUCAGUGACGUGUAUGUCAAGACGGGAUUUGAGUUUCGAGACGGUCUUCCAGAUUUCCUGCGACGAGACACACUGGAAGUACAGCUCCCACGUGUAACGGAAUGUCUCUAUUUCCUGGACGGUUUUGAUAGACUACUUGAGAUAGACUUUCUAUUGUCCCGCGAAGACUCCUAGAGGUUGGAUGGGCGUGAGUUCAGUGAGUGGUAGCUGCUGACGCGCUUCGACUUCGUGCACAGCCCGGAGCUGUACGACGUCGUAGAGUCCGAACACAAGGGGGGUAGGUGCCUCUGUAUGAUAAAGCUCCUCAACCAGUAGAAGACCUUGUAGCGUAAGGGUGCCACCGACCUCGACGACUAGGCAAACGUCCGGUUACCGGACGCAGCUAAGCUCGACGUCACACGUGAGGGAAAUGAGUCCUCGACGGACCUCCCACCCUUCUUGACCGUGCAACACGUCGUCUAGGGACUCCACGCGUAGUGUUCGUGGCUACCGUUCUUCAUGUAUUCCAUGUUGUUCCGGGCAGCGUAGAUGCUCUGUUUACGAGUCACACUUCUCUUCAGAUGGAUUUUUAGAACGACAAACCAUCUGUACAAAGCCAGGCGGGCAGGGCUGACGAGGUUCUCUACAACACUCCGGACUCCUUACUCAUGGCAUAAAAACCACUUAGUCUGUCGUCUACCAGAAAGGGGGGGAAGGAGUCAUGACUUGAACCGAAUUGAGGAAGUGGUUAUGAGCUACACACUAAGAAGAGGCAAAGGACCAAGACCGCUAAACAUUUAACAUUUGUAACUCGAACUACCUAAAACUACUCACAUUUCAUAACGGUGAACACAUGUACCUAAACAAAAAAAGAAAAGUACAGUCUUACAAAAGAUAGUUUGUACAUAUAAAUACAUUAACCGUUUGAAUACACGCGUUUAAAGUACUAAUAGGACUUUAACCUAUGAGAGUUAAACAAAUUAUGGAACUUACCUCUACCUACG
rnacentral:rRNA from 1 species